AUGUUCUCUACAUCUCUACUGCUCCUGCUGGCAGCUGCUUCUUAUGUGCAUGGUGAGGAACUGACUCAGCCUGCUUCCAUGACAGUCCAACCAAGCCAGAGUCUCUCCAUCCAGUGCAAGGUUUCAUAUUCAGUUACAAGUGAUGCUACAGCAUGGAUACGACAACCUGCAGGAAAAGCUCUGGAAUGGGUCGCAAAUAUGGGUUAUGCUGGUGGCACUUACUACAGUGAGAAACUGAAAAGCAGGUUUCAGGUUUCCAGAGACACGUCCAGCAACACAGUGACAUUAACAGGACAGAACAUGCAGACUGAAGACACAGCUGUGUAUUACUGCGCUCGUGAACCACAGUGA